rnacentral:lncRNA from 1 species
GACGAGGGAAGAGGAGAAGUGCUUCCCCAUGCAGGUAGUGAGAAAACCACCGUCACCCAAGCGCACACCGUCCCACCACGUUCCCCAGGUGGAAUGCAUGGGGGGCAGCGGGCCCACCCGACAUUGGGGUGCACUGGGUGGGGGCUCCAGCAGGAGGGCAGGGCUCACUCUCCUCACUGACCUUCCCCUCCAGAGGCCAGAUUCCUGGCAGCUCUCCGGCUUCUCGGGGCCAGCCCAGCCCUAUCAGGACGGGGCAGGUAGCACCCUCUUCCUGACACCCUACCCUGGCCCUACUUCCUGGGCGUCCUGGAAACAGCUGGAAGUGGGGUCCUCUGGGUGUGGGUGGGUGGCUGGAGGGUCUGGCAGCACCAGCUUUUGGGGCCAGCCAAAAGGGCAGCCUGGUCCACACAGUCUCCCUGGCCAUCUGAGUGCCCAGCCGACUAUGCUGAAGGGGGCCCAGGGACAGGGACUCAGCACCCACGCCUCUCCUGAAUCCUGGCCCAGCCCGGCCACCACACAGCCCUGCACAGCAUGCUUGGGCUGAGCCUCAGGUGCACGGCAACGCGGCCGCCCCUCGCUCCAGUGCUGUCCCAGGCUAACAAGGAGACACUUCUCGGAGCAGGAAGCCCCUGGCACGGCCUCUGAACGAUGUAAGAACUGGAGGCUGCUGGAGCACCACGCUUCACCUGAAGAAUCAUCAAGACUACUUACUCCAGCUGGUGUCGUAACUUACUCUUGUUGAGAAUAUUGAUCAUGAACUCGGCCUUCUAGUGGGUUUGCCCUGUGGCUUUCCCCGUCGUUCACGCCCUGCUGUUGGACAGGAGCCAGCGAGACCUGGUGGAACCCUCAGCCUCCAGACCCUUCCCUGGUGACCGCGGCUCCCUGAGCGCCGUCCUGGGGCUGUGGAAGCAGCGGAGCCUGCGGCCUCACGUGCCUCUCCCUGAACCCUGGGAGCCGGGUUCCUGCAGGGUCCAGUGCAGGGUCCAGCUCUCUCCAUUGUCCACGCUCUGGGUGGAAUGGUGAGUCGGACACCCACAAACACCCAGGAGGAGGUCCAGAAUGCAGCCACGGCUCCUUUCCCCAGAACAGGACCCCGGCAUGGGGAUCCCCCAGGCUCCUUCCACUCCCUCUCCUGGGGUGACGGCCAGCUGCCCCAUGGCUGCUCUUCAAGUGCAGCAGCCCUUCUCCCGCCUCCACCUUUGGGCUGAGCUGGGAAGGAUUUGGGUGGCCAUGGGCUUGUCUCGCUCCUGCCACCUGCAGCCAGCACAGCGCUGCCCUUUACCCUCCGGGUCCUCCUCUUUGGAUAAUCCUGCAGGGACAGACACCGCUCAUCCCAUAUCAUGGAUGAGGCAACCAAGGCUUGGAGAAUUCAACAACUUCUAGAAGGACAGUGCCAGGGCCGCACCUGCUAUCUGGCUUGAAAGUCAGGGUUUCAGCUGGCCCUGGGCUUUGUUCCUGAAAGGAUUCUGGUCCUGUCCCUCCUGCGCAUCCUGACCUCUGCCUGUCACCUCCACCAUGCUCAGCAGCCCCCUUCAGCUGGCCACGAGGUCCUCCAGGCCAUCUGCCACCUCGCCCAGGCAAGGCCUCCAGGUGUCCUGCUCUGCUUCCAGAGGCCCGUGUGCAGCAUCUGAAGGGAAGAGUCCACUGGCUUUCCCUGCGACUCCAAGCGCAAGGCCCAGGAGGACCUGUGGGUGUGGACUCUGGACUCUCAGGUCCCUCCCUUUAGUCUGCCUGCUGUCACUGUGGACAGAGGGCUGGCGGGAGCGGGGGCUUCGUGCCUUAGUACCCAAACUCAGCAGCACAGCAUCACUGUAAGCCCAAGUGGCCGAGCACACAGCCUGAAGGUCUCUUUGGUUUUCUGAUGAGCUUUAACUGAAUAAGAGAAAUCCCAGAAUUCAGCAAGUUCCUGGUGCAGUACAAGAACAGAGAGCCGUCAAGCAGGGGUUCAGUGACAGGGACAGGCUCUGGGCUCUUCUGCAAUGAAAGAUACUCGUCUUGGUACUGAUGGUGGAGAAAGUCCGGGGCAAUGGCCCUUGUCCUCCCGGCAGUGAUUGCAGGCCCUCUCGGGUGGCCAGUGUGGAAGCCCGCAGUCUCUGGGGAGGCACUCCACGUGUGGCAGUAAGCACUCAUUUAACGGACCUCUCACGGUCCACCCCUUCUCGCAGCUGCGAGAGCCUGAGUUGGCCUGGUCCUGCGGCUGUCUUCCUGGGCUCCUGUGCACCUGGAUAUUUUAGAUUUGUGUCUUUUUUCCCCUCUUCCCCUAGGCAGAUGGGAGCUGGCCUGGGUUUCGUUCCCUGGUGGGGUGCGGGCUGGGGUGGCAGACGGGGAGAGUGACCAGCUCUCUCUUCCCCUGCCAGCCCAGUCAGAGGCUCUUGUGCAGAAGGGCAGGCCCUGGUUGCUGGUUGGUGGCCUGGGCUUCCCCGCAUCUGCUGUGCGUGGGUUCCUCGUGGCUGGGUGACAUCCACCUCCCCUGGAGGGGACCAGCUCUUCCAUGUCACUCACUUCCCUCCAGACCCCCACCCCAACACGCCUGGGGGUAAAGGUGUCCUGAGCUCCACUCCUGAUGGUCCCUCACAGGAGACCUCUCAGGGCCACCUGCAGUGGCGUGCUGCUUCUAGGGGUCACAGCCUGGAGACGCUGGGUUAUUUUUGCUGGUUUUGACCAUGUCCUAAGAGUGUAGGUGUUCGGUGCCAUCCCAGCUCCCUGCUAUCCCCACUGGUCUCUGGCUCCAUUUUCUUUGACCCCGCCCCCCGCCUGCACAGGUCCUGUUUGCUUGCUGGUUGGUGCCAUCUCCGGGGGCACAGAGGCUGCGUGGAGAAGCUGCUCUGCCCCCUCAGGUGCAGGGCAGGUGGGCAGGAGCGCCAGGCUUCGGGUGGCCCUGCACACCUUCCUCAGCACUUCUAGGCUGAGGACAUGGCAGGCCAGGAGGGCACCUGCUGGGAGGGAGGUAUUUGCUCGUGGUCAGCUUCUGACCACCCCUUCCAGGGACACAGCGUUCCUGGACCUCCCUGCCAGGCGCUGAGCAGGCCCAACACCCUCAGGGACAGCUCAGGACAGUGGCAUUCCAGUUCUACACUGGGCUGACUGCCCAGGAGCCUGUGGGCAGGUGAGCCUGACCCUGAUUUGCUGAAAGCCAGGCCCAGUGGGCCUCCCAUUGCAAGUUUUAAGGUGAGGCUAGGGAUCCCAGUGGCUCGGGAGGCUGAGGCAAGAGAAUUGUGAGUUCAAAGCCAGCCUCAGCAACUUAGGGAGUCCUAAAGCAAUUCAGCGAGACCCUGUCUCUACAUACAAAAAAGGUCUGGGGGCUCAGUGGUUAAGUACCACUGGAUUCAAUCCCUGAUACCAAAAAACGUGGAAGAGUGAGAGAGAGAGGGUAGGGAGCUGGUUUUUAUCGGAAAGUCCUCCAGUUUUAAACUGCUCGUUCAAACAUCUUAAAAAUGUUCUGUUUCUAAGGCAGGUUGUACCUGGCCUGACGCACUACAACAGAUAGUUUAUUCUAGAUCAAUCUAAAGUCAGUUGGUGCUGUGGAUGUAGCUCAGUGGUAGAGCACUUGCCUAGGUGUGUGCCAGGCCCUGUGUUCAAUCCCAGCACUGCAAAAUAAGUAAGUAAAUAAUAAAUAGUCAAGCGAGGCACUUGUAAAAGUUGGUGCUUUUAUGUCUGGCCUCCAGCCAUAUAUUUAGGCCACAGAGCAGUUAAGAUAUAAAACCGACUCCACAUUACAACCCACAGUGAAGACAGUGUGGCUGCGAGGUUCAGUCCCCCCUGUCUUCUAAAUUGGGGCACGGACAGAUAACUGCCCUAGGAGCUUGUUCAGCAUCUUCUUAUGAACUGGAAUAAAUCAUCCUUUCCACCAGACAUCUUUUGGUAUCUGCUGGAAAACUGUUGUGUCAAAUACACACAUCUAUCUUCACUACAAUUGUGACAGGCACCUCACCGUAAGAACUUGCACAGCAUACAACCUGCUCAACCACACAUGGCAACCCUAGGUGUGGACCUCUUUGUCCAGCCCAUCCUAGCCCUAGGCUAUAAUUGUGGAAUUGCUGUUUUAAUUGUUGAAUUCUCCAUUCCUUGGGAAAUAUUUUUUGUGUUUCCUUAGCUCCUUAGAGUUUGCAAGUUUCUCCCUUGUUGGCUGAUUUAAUCCUCCACAACCUAAAUGAAUGUAAUUUGGCUUAUUUUAUGAUGAAGUAACUCUGGGGCAGAACCACACUGUUUUAUUUUCCUUACUAGUUUCAUUGAGUAAUUUAUCACUGUAUAUUUACAUAAGACGGGUCAAUUUUUGUCAGACACAGUUUCCCCAGGUAUCUGGACUCCAGGGUUAAACUUGGCAGGACCAUGAAGCCCUGCAGUGCUGGAGGUGAGGUGGAAUCCUGCGGGGUGCCUGAGUCGGGGAGGGGGCAGGCUUUGAGGGCUCAGGGUGUGUGGGCAGGGCGUGGAUCACAUCAGGACAGCCCAGGUGGCGGAACAGAGUGAGGAGUCUAGGAACCUCAGGGAGCACACUGAGGAGUUGGUGGCUGUCUUGGUCCUUUUCUUGUUGCUGAAACACAAUGCCUGAGAUUGAGUAUUUUACGCACAGCAGAGGGUCCUGUGCCUGUCUGUUUGGGAGGCUUCUGAGCACAGAGCAAGGCUCAUUGGGACCUGGUGGAGGGCAUCACAUGGAGACAGAGCAGGCGUGCACCUGGGCCUCUUCCUCUUCCUGCAGAGCCACUGAUACUGACCUCCUCUAAUCCCAUUCACCUCCCACAGGCCCCACCCCCACUAUUAGCAUAGGAACGGGGGAUUAAGUCUCCAACACGCCAACUUUUGGGGACACAUUUAACCAUAGAAGAGGGUCUUUCUGGAGUCCUGUGUAAGAAAUGCUCAAGACCAUCCGAGCUGAGUCUCCUGGAAGGUGCGACAGGUCACUGUAGUGAGGACAGUGCGAGGACAUCCAGUGUCCCUAAUGCAGGCAGCCAGCCCCUGUGGGCGUGGGUGGUUUCUGGUCUCAGUCUUUGAAGGACAGAUUUGCUCAAGCAGCCAUGGUUUUUAAAAACCAGUGAGAAAAACAAAUGACUUUUUACUCAUACACACAUAUUUGCUGGUACGCAUGUACAGCGCACACACACACAUACACACAUGCAUGUCCAUAUGUGUGUGCUUGCUCAAAUCAUGCUCGGUGUGAAGUGUUCCCCUCAGGGUACCUGUGGCCUCCCCAACAGGACAGCUGGCUUCUCUCCUGGACACUGCCAUGAUAACUCAGUGCAGGGGACAGGUGAUGGUCCUGUGCCUGAGAGGCACUGUUAAGCUGGAGUUCAGGACACUGAGCCGAUGGGGCAGGUAUAAGAAGGGUACCCCUGGAAGACAAGUCCGGGAGACAAGUCACCAUGACAAGCACCUCCCACACAGUCAUCACCAUGACAUCUCCUGCUGCCGCAGUCUGGCUGGGCACAAAUAAUCAGGAGAUCACGAGCCACUUGUAGGUUCAAACAGGAACUACUUUAUUGCCCGAACCCAACGGGAACUCAACCGGAACUCCACGGAAACUCCGCGAGAACUCAAAGGGAACUCAAUGGGAAUUUUGCGAGAACUCAAAAGUAGCGGGCACCCGAGGUAGCAGGAGCCGCCUAAUUGCCAGACAGCAGAGGUUUAUAUACACAACUGAAUACACAGCUCGUUUCAAUUUAGCAUCAUCCAGUUACAGCAAUCAGUCAUUAUCUUAAUAAUUAUACACAGCUUAACUUAAUUAUCAUCAUAUUAAUGGCUCGCUGGCGUCACUUCUCAACCACUCCUUCUGGCAAAAUGCCAGGCACCAUCUUGACUUGGUUGUGGCUCUCAACAUCCUGCCACAGAUUGGGUAUUUUAAAAUGACCAGAGGGGGUAAAUGGACAGUAUUCUAAUUAGGUAAAGUCACCAGUGGGGGGAAUGGACAAUAUUCUAACCAGAUGUCAUAAGGUAACCGAUGGGGUGAGGUCUUCAGUCGGGCCGUGUGGGACCCUGCCUUCCAGACCUGGCCUGGGGCCUCUCUGCUCCCCCUUCCCAAGCGGCUCCCCCUCGGCCUGCGGAAGCCUGUACUUUGCCUGUUACUCCUGUGUGUCUUGCUCAGUUCUGUGUUGGGGACACCAAGGACUUGGACCUCAACUGGCCACCUGACGAUACCAGGGAGGGAGGGGUGCUGUGCCCCCCCCCGCCCGCCCCCCAGUCGCCCUGGAGCCACU